AUAUAUCUCUCUCUCUCUCUCUAUCUCUCUCUCUCUCUCACCUUUGAUUUCCGAUUCAAAUGCUUCAAGGUUCUCUUUUAUUGUCUCCACAAUCUAAAGCUGAAACACCAACUCGUUGUCUCCGUUUUUUUGGACGGAAUAUUACUUGGAUGCCACUUGCACCGUGGACAUGGAUCUGGAGCUAAUAGCUAAUAUCUGGCUUAUUCAAUUGGAGGAGGAUGGUGCAACAACAUUAUAACAUGUGUAUACCAAAAGAAGACUCGACAUGGUUUCUCUAACUAUAUGGAGAAGCAGCAUCAGUUUACAGGAAUCCUUAGUGAUAAAGCUCAAGAAAAUCAUGACCUGGAAUAUAGUUAAGCUUCCCUACUACGAUGGCGCUUCUUUCAGUGGAGAUGAUCAUAAUCAGGGAUUUGGCGGCGGUUAGUACCCCGACGGAGGCUGACUGUGUUUUUUGCUCAAUCUUUACUUGAGUGGAUGUUUGAACAUCUGGGUUCAGGUUAUAAUGAGGAUGAGAUGGGCAAACUGUUUAGUGUUGCUGUUUGGUGGAGGUGGAAAUGGAGAUGUAGUGAUGUCUUUGGGGAGAGAAGGACGUGUCGGGAUCGGAUCAAAUUUUUGAAGGAUUUGGCAGGGGAGGUGACACGGGGACAUGAGCAGGUUCAUGGUCGCCCGUUAACGGCACACUGGACCGUACAAAUGGUUAAGUGGGAGAAGUCGUUGGUGGAAUGGGUAAAGAUAUCGACAGAUGGAGCGUCAAGGGGAAAUCCGGGGUUGCCGACCGCACGAGGGGUUAUUCGAGACGGGAACAGUGUGUGGCUUGGAGGCUUUGCACUUAAUAUAGGGGAGUGUUCGGCUCCUAUGGGGGAGUUUUGGGGAGCUUAUUAUGGCCUGCUAUUCGCCUGGGAUCAAGGUUUUUGUCGGGUGGAGUUGGAGUUGGACUCUGAGUUAGUAGUUGGGCUUUUAAAAUCUUCGAUUAAUACAGCCCAUCCGCUAGUGUUCCUGGUACGGCUAUGCCAUGACUUUUUUUCAAGGAACUGGUUGGUCCGGAUUUCUCACGUGUAUAGGGAAACUAAUUGUCUAGCAGAUGGAUUAUCGAACUAUGCGAGUUAGGUUUGCAUUCUUUUGAUUUGCGUCCCGACAUUGUUCAUUCUCUGAUGUUGGACGAUCCAAAUGGAAAUGAAAUCACACGUACGUUACGGUUGUAAUUUUAAUUUUAUGUUUUUUAAUUAAUGCUAAAAAGGGCUUUAGUGGGCCUUGUGGGCUUUCGCUAAA